rnacentral:rRNA from 1 species
AAAGGAGGGGCAAUACCGAAUAUUGUCCGGAACCGUGAAGGGUUUCGGGGAAAGGGAGGCCUCUGACACAAGCUUUCGCCUUAAGAUGAGCCCAUGGCCCAUCAGCUAGUUGGUAGGGUAAAGGCCUACCAAGGCUACGACGGGUCGCUGGUCUGAGAGGACGACCAGCCACACUGGCACUGAGAUACGGGCCAGACUCCUACGGGAGGCAGCAGUGAGGAAUAUUGCGCAAUGGGGGAAACCCUGACGCAGCAACGCCGCGUGUGGGAAGAAGGCCUUCGGGUCGUAAACCACUUUUACUCGGGACGAAAAAGGGAUAUCAAACAAAUAUCCCCGAUGACGGUACCGUGAGAAUAAGCCACGGCUAACUCUGUGCCAGCAGCCGCGGUAAGACAGAGGUGGCAAGCGUUGUUCGGAAUUACUGGGCGUAAAGAGUCUGUAGGUGGUUUGUCAAGUCUUUGGUGAAAGGCCGUAGCUUAACUAUGGGAAUGCCAAAGAGACUGGCAGGCUGGAGGCUGGGAGAGGGAAGCGGAAUUUCUGGUGUAGCGGUGAAAUGCGUAGAUAUCAGAAGGAAGGCCGGUGGCGAAGGCGGCUUCCUGGAACAGUCCUGACACUGAGAGACGAAAGCGUGGGGAGCAAACAGGAUUAGAUACCCUGGUAGUCCACGCCCUAAACGAUGGGUACUAAGUGUGGAGGGGUUAAACCCUCCGUGCCGCAGCAAACGCAGUAAGUACCCCGCCUGGGGAGUACGGCCGCAGGUUGAACUCAAAGGAAUUGACGG